UACGGAGGGGGGCUAGCGUUGUUCGGAAUUACUGGGCGUAAAGCGCACGUAGGCGGCUUUGUAAGUUAGAGGUGAAAGCCCAGAGCUCAACUCUGGAAUUGCCUUUAAGACUGCAUCGCUAGAACGUCGGAGAGGUGAGUGGAAUUCCGAGUGUAGAGGUGAAAUUCGUAGAUAUUCGGAAGAACACCAGUGGCGAAGGCGACUCACUGGACGACUGUUGACGCUGAGGUGCGAAAGCGUGGGGAGCAAACAGG
rnacentral:rRNA from 1 species